AACGUAGGUGGCGAGCGUUAUCCGGAUUUACUGGGCGUAAAGCGUGUGCAGAUGGGUGAGUAAGUGGUGUAUGAAAUCGCUCGGCUUAACCGGGCGGGGUUAUGCCAGACUGCUCAUCUAGAGAACGGGAGAGGGACGUGGAAUUCCGGGUGUAGUGGUGAAAUGCGUAGAGAUCCGGAGGAACCCCUGAGGCGAAGGCGGCGUCCUGGCCCGGUUCUGACAUUCAGACACGACAGCAUGGGGAGCGAACGGG
rnacentral:rRNA from 1 species